rnacentral:rRNA from 1 species
CCAUACCUACGGGAGGCAGCAGUGAGGAAUAUUGGUCAAUGGGCGGGAGCCUGAACCAGCCAAGCCGCGUGAGGGAAGAAGGUACAGCGUAUCGUAAACCUCUUUUGUCAGGGAACAAAGGCGGGGACUAGUCCCCGGAUGAGGGUACCUGAAGAAAAAGCAUCGGCUAACUCCGUGCCAGCAGCCGCGGUAAUACGGAGGAUGCGAGCGUUAUCCGGAUUUAUUGGGUUUAAAGGGUGCGUAGGCGGGACCUUAAGUCAGCGGUAAAAUUGCGGUG